GCGAGAUGUCACUUAGCCUAAGCUCAAUUAGGUUAAAAAAGGGCAUAAGGCAGAGAUAAAGGUAUGACCUGGAAGGGGAACCGAAGGAAGGAAACCCUAAAAGAGGCAGCCGUCAAGGAGAAACGUUUCAGAUCUUUUUCUUUGGCUUUUGUGCAUGUAAUGACCACCAUGAGUGAGUAAUUUUUUCCUUUAAGAUUAUGAGUAAUCUAUUCAAAUUCUGAAGUAUAUUAAUGAUAAUUAUAUAUGAAUUUUU
rnacentral:lncRNA from 1 species